rnacentral:lncRNA from 1 species
CAUGGCUGACGAGAGAGCGGCUGGACUCCAUGCCGGAUACUUCGCUUUGAGCAAAGCAGAAAGACCCGCAACGUGGGGCGUCGCCAUACUUGUUCCCGAGAUCAUGGCAAAAUGUUCACCUACAGGUACAAAAACAAGCCACCUCAAUGCAGUUCUCGAAAAGCAUUCUAAACCCAUCCAUCCAUUUCUCUGAGGAUUGUAUCUUCCAGAUGACACAGACGUUGGAAGUAAUUGCAUGCGAUCAUGUUCAGUGCAAGAGACAACAGAUUCAGCGAUUCCAGUGGAGUACUGGUAUUGACAAUGCAGUAGAGCUUACCUUGAUAAGCGGCAUUAUCAAUUGCGAUGGGUGUCCACGCUCCCCAGAUGAGGAAGCCUGGCCCCAUAACAUUGGGUUUUAACACAUCAGCGUCAUUGAAGUUGAAAUCUCUCACGUCGGGGCCUCUCGAUGAGAACAGAGCAACUUGCUGCGCCUGACCCGUGUAGACAGUGACUUGACCAUCUCCAAGUUUAGCAGUUGCGCCAAAUGAGAGGGCUUUGCCAUUCUGACCCCGUUUUGUAUUUGCUUCAUAGUAUCCCAGAAAAGUCUGCGGUCACAUGUUCUUCUGGUUACACGGUGACACAAAAAGUACGAGAGGGACAUAUCUAUUUUAAUCAUCUGAUUCUUUCUGAACUGAUUCAUUUAUGUUUCGCCAUCUCAAAGUUGCAGAUAAAACGACAGGUUGAAAAUAGCAAGAUAAACGUUCGAAAAUCAGGCAUCGAAAGAGGCCAGCGUGAAACAAUUGAGGCAAAAGGAGUACCGCUGAAUCCGCGAAACUGAGAAGGGCAAUAGCUGGGAUUCGAAGGGGCACAGGAUCGAAUUUACUGCCAGAACCGUCAGACUCCACAACCAACACCACAC